AUGACAAUUGGACUUUCUGUCAGGGUAAAUAUCACAAGUUGGACUAUAGAUUACAUGAGCACCUUUUGCAAGGAUGAAAUACUGUUUGGGAGGGCAAUUACUAACUGUACCUGGUCUAAAGACUCACCUGAUCAACAUAUGGAUCUUAAAGCACCAUCUGAGGACUUCUAGACUCUGAGGGUCCUAAGCAUAUGAUGGUAAGUGAUAAAAAUGUAGGGAGUCAGUAAGUCUGACUGUAGAGGCCCAUUGCUUUGUAGAAACAAUGAUUAGCAACCAGCAAGGUAGAUGUGGAAGAUUGCAAAAACAACACCAAUUCUUCACCCUUCCUGUUUGUUCUCCUGUCUCUUGAAUCUGAGCUGGCUUUACGAGUUGCUUUGGCCAAUAGUCUAGUGGAAGCAAUAGUGUGACAUGUCUCAGCCAAGGACACAAGAAGCCUUGAACACUUACACUUGUUCUCUGAGACUCCUGUGACCAUCAUGUAAACAUCCUGCAGGAGGAUGAAUCAUGGAGGAUAGCCAUCCCAGUUAAGGCCAUCAUAGACUAUCCGGGCCUCCGUAAGUGAAUCCUGUAAUAGGGCAGAUACAUGAGCAAGCCCCAUGAAGAUCAGUUUAGCCUAUCCAAGAGCAGAGGAACCCAUAUGUUUAUAAACUAAAUAAAUUCUUGGUUUUUCUUUCAACAUUUCUUAAUGAGAAACUUCAAACAUACAGAAAGAUUAAAAACAUUGUCAAAUGAACAGCCAUAUACCUAAUAUUUUACUGUUUAUUUUUAAAUCACAUAUCCAUUCAUCUACCACCCAUCCUUCUAUUCAUCCAUCAAUCCAUUUCCCUUUUUAAAAUGGUGAUUAUUGCUUUAAGUUACUAAAUUUGGGGAUGAUUUAUUAUGCAAGAAUUAUUUUUGGUAGUAGGUAACUGAUACUAAAGACGUAAUAAAAGAAGGCUUACUUUGGGAAGUAAGGGAAGAUUCCAAGAAUAAAGUGGCUGAUUUGGGCUUCUUUGCAUAACAGUGUUUUCUUACUAAAGGGUACCGAUGAGAUCUACUCUUCUGGGAAGAAGAAUUUGGACCAGAAGUUGUGAAAUGGCUCAGGGUUUAUCUGUAAGCAGAGGACCCUGACUAGGCUAUAUUACUUCCCUGUGCUUCAUGAAUCCCCAGCAGGUAGGAAUGCUCAGGACUUUUUGACUGGAAGAGUAGAUACUUAGAAAGCAGCAGUUCAUGGGGAUGAGGGGGAAGAAUGGCCCUUAUGUAUGCACUCAUUUCCAUGGUUUCAAAGUGAUUCACAUGGGCAUAUACUCAGUUUUACAUCAAGCUCAUGAGGAAAGCAUCUUAUAGAUUUGGAAAUCAAAUCUCAGAGAGGGUUUUCACCUGCCCAAUGUCAGUUUAAGAUCGAUCUAAGACUCAAACCCAGUCUUGUACAUUUGAAGUUCCAAUGUUCUUUCUAUGCCAGCUCAACUCUCCUUUUUUGUUGUUAUGGGGGGGGGGGGAAGAAAGGUGGCAAGUGAAAUUGAGAAUAAGUAAAAUGAAAAAAGAGAAAAAAGACAUUGGGGAUACAUGAUAUGUGACUGAUUUAUUCUAAACUUGUUCCUACCAAGAAAUAUUUACCUCAGAUCUUUUCAAACGUCUGGCACUGUGCUAGGUUUGUUGACUGGCACCAGUUGUGCAAACUAGCCUUUGUCCUGAGAAACCUGCUGUCCAAGUUGGGGUGAAAAGACGCAGGGCAAAUGAAUCUGGUAUUGGCAUCACAAACUCACAGCUCACCUCUGAUUUCAGCCCACAUGAGGGGGACAGUUCCAUGAACUAAAGGCUCAACUUCAGUGGCUAGCUUCUCAUUUCAAGGGCAUGCUGUGUGGCUUUCUCUUUUCUGUCCCAGGGCUUUCUGCCAAGCCAUGGGAGCUUGAGUUCGUUUGGCUUACAAGUACCACUCAAAAGACCUGUAGAAUCAAUACCCCUAGGGGUGAUGCUCAAACAGUGAGGGAUGGGAGCCGGUGAGGAGAUGCUCCAGCUGCCUGCCUUAUACUCAGACAAUUCUGGGAGGUAUUUCCCUGCUUCUUGGUAUACUUCACAGAAUUGAGCCUUGGUGUCCAUAGCAGCAACCUUGACAAUGCAUUUUUCUGUUAGCUUUUCCUCCAUCCCUAUCUCAUUCUCUCUGUUCUCUCACUCCUGGUUCCAAGGCCUUUUCCUCAAAAGCCAUCUAAGUUCACAUCUUGUUUCAGGUUUUGCUUCCCCACAGCUAUGAUAAAAAAGAUGAAACAUAUACUUACAAAUAAAAUCAUAAAUAAUAUGGGAAUAUAAUAUUAAGAGGCAGUAUGACAUGAAAGACAUAUAUAUAUAUAUAUAUACCGUAUAUAACAGAUAAUACAGGGAUUUAAGAAAUAAGAAAAUGUUAAAAACAUUGGGGUCGCUGGAGUCAAGCCUUUAAGUGAGAAUAUGAUUUCAAUACAUUGUUAAAUGGAAUUCUGGGCAUGGGAAUCUGCGGGAGGGAAUUUUUCUGGGAUUCUUACAAACCUCUGUUUUUUUAUGCUUCACUAAAUGUCAGCCAUUAACAGUGCUGAAGAAUCUAGUGGAAACUUUACUCACCAAGUGCCCACCAUAAAAUAACGACUUGUUGACUGCUAAUGCUAUGUGAAACCUAAGUUGUUUUCACUUUUUUCUAUCUUUGAUUGUGGCAUAAUUUUAUUAGUGUUGACCCCUUAUAUUUUAGAGAUGAUCAUACAGCUCGAUUCCCUGGUAGGAUAUUUAUGAGCACAUUCAAUGCCAAAAUUAUUAGUAUAAAGUCCUAUGGACAAGUGGGAAAGCCAGGGCUGGGUUGUCAUAGAACUUGUCACUCAAGGAGAAGUGCAAAUGCCAUGUGGCUUUAAAAUAAAAACCAGAUGACAAACAGUAUUUGGUGGGUCUUGGUUCUUCUCCAGAAGUCUCAAGAAAAGUGGAGAUAUUUUUGCCACAGUAAAAUUCUAGCAUUUGUAGCCAGUUGCCUUGAUUUCCAUCAUGAAGGGCUUGUUUCCUCACAGAGGAGGCUGUGAGGAAAAGCUCGAAUGAGAGGGUGGUCCCCUUGGGUCAGCGAUUAGGCUAGAGAAAGGGUAAGGUGGGGCCACUCAGGCUGCAGCUUCCUAUAUGGUGCUGGAUCUUGUUUUAAGCAGACAGCCUUAUUUUCUAGGACUAAUUUCUCUCUUGCUCUUCAUCAGUUCAGUGCUUAAAAGGCAGGGAAGUCGCAGAGGAAAAGAAAGAGGAAAUUCAAAAGGGAAAGAAAAUAUCUGCGUAUCACAGAGAGCAUAAACAAAAUGUAAACCUUUAAUAAUAGGCACCCAUAGGCAGAUGAAAGGAGAUGAAGUGAAAACUCAACCACCCCCCAAGUUACCACAUCUGCACAACUGUUGAAAACAUUUUAAAAGCUCCAAACAUUAACUAUUUAGUUCUUUUCAAAGUUUAUAACCUUUUCCCUUUUUGCUCAGCUGUGUUCUAAUGACUUCUUUUUUUCUGUUAAAGAGCAUUGGUUUAUGAGAACAGGAUGUUUGUAUUAAAUAUUAAAUCAUCAAGGCUUCCUUCGGCUGAAGGUCCAGCUUGGCUUCAGUUUUGAUUGAAAUAGACAAACCUACAUUCCUACAGAACUAGAGAGAGUACAAAGAGUUUGUCAAAUCUUGAUAGUGCAACCUGGCAUUGGGCCAAGAACAGAAUAAUUGGUUAAAGUCUGCAUAGUUCUUUGAAGAUGCAAAAUACUGUGUAAUUCUAAGUAGUAUUGAGAGUUGAGCCAGCCCUUGAGGGCCUGAUUCUAGGGGACAGCAGACUAUACCUCCCCGAUGGUCUUUUGAGGAGCAAAGUCGGUGUCUUGUGUAGAUGAACUAUUCAUGGGAACCAUCUGGGUUCUAGAAAUUGGCCUUCAGCUCUGGGGUAUCUACUCUCCCCGCUUCUUCCUGGAAACUUAGUUAUACGAUCAGUGUCAUCU
ensembl:lncRNA